AGCAGCCGCGGUAAUUCCAGCUCCAAUAGCGUAUAUUAAAGUUGUUGCAGUUAAAAAGACUCGUAGUUGAAUUUUGGGUCUGGCCGGGCGGUCCGCCCUCUGGGUGAGCACUGUUCCGACGCCGGGCCUAUCCUUCUGGUGAGUCGGCAUGUCCUUUAUUGGGUGUGUCGGGGAACCAGGACCAUUACCUUGAAAAAAUUAGAGUGUUCAAAGCAGGCGUAUGCUCGAAUACAUUAGCAUGGAAUAAUGAAAUAGGACGCGUGGUGCUAUUUUGUUGGUUUCUAGAACCGCCGUAAUGAUUAAUAGGGAUAGUUGGGGGCAUUAGUAUUCAAUUGUCAGAGGUGAAAUUCUUGGAUUUAUUGAAGACUAACUUACUGCGAAAGCAUUUGCCAAGGAUGUUUCCAUUAAUCAAGAACGAAAGUUAGGGGAUCGAAGACGAUCAGAUACCGUCGUAGUCUUAACCAUAAA
rnacentral:misc_RNA from 1 species